UACGUAGGGGGCAAGCGUUAUCCGGAUUUACUGGGUGUAAAGGGCGUGCAGCCGGGAGCCCAAGUCAGAUGUGAAAUCCCGCGGCUUAACCGCGGAACUGCAUUUGAAACUGGGUUUCUUGAGUACCGGAGAGGUCAUCGGAAUUCCUUGUGUAGCGGUGAAAUGCGUAGAUAUAAGGAAGAACACCAGUGGCGAAGGCGGAUGACUGGACGGCAACUGACGGUGAGGCGCGAAAGCGUGGGGAGCAAACAGG
rnacentral:rRNA from 1 species